rnacentral:lncRNA from 1 species
AGAAAUUUAGAUUGUACCUUUUUCUGCUCAGUGCAUUCACGAGCAAAAUGUCCAACCUUCUGACAAUUAUAGCAAGUCAUUUUCUUCUUUCCUCCUCUUUUUCCCCUGCGACGCUUAGCAUACCCUUCUGUUUUAGUGCAUUAGUCUUAACCUGAUCGUUGCCAUUAGCUUGCCUCUUGUGCUUGCCUUUUACAUUGUGCGGACUAGCUUGAGCCAUGAAAACAAAGCUUCCAUCUUUAGCACAUAUUCAAGCUCAAUAUGCCUUUUGAGAUCAACAAGAGUUUUGAUACUGUCAUUAUGUAUCACAG